UACAGAGGUCUCAAGCGUUGUUCGGAUUCAUUGGGCGUAAAGGGUGCGUAGGCGGCGCGGUAAGUCGGGUGUGAAAUCUCGGAGCCUAACUCCGAAACUGCAUUCGAUACUGCCGUGCUUGAGGACUGGAGAGGAGACUGGAAUUCCUGGUGUAGCGGUGGAAUGCGCAGAUAUCAGGAGGAACACCGGUGGCGAAGGCGGAUCUCUGGGCCAUUACUGACGCUGAGGAGCGAAAGCGUGGGGAGCAAACAGG
rnacentral:rRNA from 1 species